CAGGGCAGUUAGUCGGGGAGUUCGUCAGUUGUUGUUUGCCAGAAGACGACGGCUUUAGAGCAUCUGACAGACAUCUUUCCCCACAAACAGUAACAGAUCCUGUGAGAGAUAAUAGUGAAGAUGGCUGCUGUGUUUUGGAUGGCUGUGGUGCUGGCCUUUACCCUGUUUACUGGAAACAGUUUGGGUGUUGUGGAUCAGAACAAGCUUGCACAGUUUGUACAAGGCAUCAACACAGAGUACAACAUUAAAGGCCAAGUCAGUUGGGCUGUAAACAUCCCCGGAGACCAGGAUGUGAACAAGCUUAAGAAUAUCUUUAAAGACGACCCCGCAGAAACUGUGAAAGACAAGGUUUCAAAGGAUGAAGUGUAUCAAGGUACCAAUGUGGUUGCAGCAAAAUUUAAGACAUUUCCCACAUUUACUGAGCAUGCAGAGGCACGUGUCCUGGACAAUAUGGAACCUUUAGCUAACAGAGGUGAAGGUAAAAUUCUGCUCUUCUAUUCAUACCUUUCUCCAUGUGGUGCAAAGUGUACAAAUACCGACAAUAGGAACAAUAUCCUGAACAAGAUUGAUACAGUCUGGAAGAAGUACCAAUGGAAAGACCACGCCUUUGUGUUUUCUAAAGUUUUUGACAGGACCAGUAAAGGUACUGUCAUUAAAAAGACGGAAAUAGAGGCCGCCCUUACUCAGCUCGGAAACUCCAAACUACGUCACAAAAUAUUUCGUUGUUACAAACCAAAAAACAGCGAAUUCAAAUGCACUAACUGCUACAUCAAAGGCAAACUUUUAAAUGAAUGUGUUGACAACAAUGUGUGAACAACAGGAGCUGUGGUGGGGUUGUCAUGGAGUAGAGGAGUUCUGGGGAACACACUGCUUCAGGCUUUAACUGGAUCCUAUUUAAAAUGGUAUUUUAAAAAAUAUAUUUUGCAUUAUUGAUUCUCCUUUAACUAUCAGCUUAUUACACUGAGGACCCGGACACACAUACAAUGUUUUCUGUGUUUAGAUUAUUGUGAAAAGUGGAAAAGUGAUGUGAUUCAUAAACAGUUACAGAGCAUAAAUUUUGUUCUAUUUUAAAAAUGCCUAAUUGAAACUAAUGUUAAACCUGGAUGUUUGAUGUAUGUUAACCUGACUAAUUACGGGACUCAAUAGUUGUAUAAAGCAAAAUAAUACCCUUAGAUUUUCUGUUCUUUCUGAUUAAAGCUUGGCAUUCUCAUUCUGA